AACGUAGGAGACAAACGUUAUCCGGAGUUACUGGGCGUAAAGGGCGUGUAGGUGGUUUCGUAAGUCUGGCGUGAAAUUUCUCGGCUUAACCGAGGCAGGUCGUCGGAUACUGCGGAACUAGAGGACGGUAGAGGCGUGUGGAAUUCCGGGUGUAGUGGUGAAAUGCGUAGAGAUCCGGAGGAACACCAGUGGCGAAGGCGACACGCUGGGCCGUACCUGACACUGAGGCGCGAAAGCGUGGGGAGCAAACAGG
rnacentral:rRNA from 1 species